rnacentral:lncRNA from 1 species
UAAAUAAGACCACAAACCACAAAACUUGUGCCAAAAAAAAAAAAAACAAAAACAAAAACAAAAAACCGAACAUAGGAAACACAAAAGUCAGACUACGAGGGGAGCCUAAAAUAUGUAGAUGACCAGAGGCAACGGUAUACACACAAGAAACUCAGACUCACCGUGUAUACCCUGAUGACCAAAGGUUGAACCCACCUUAAACAUCGAGAGAAACCAAUGAACAGUUCCGUCGGAACCGAAAAUAUGUAGACCAGGGACCGAAAUCCACAUGCCCACCAACAACCGCAUUAACGAACGACCCCAACACACCGAAAUAUAGACUGCCGACACUUAUAAUCGGGAACGGCAAGGUUUGAGGGAAGAUAAAUUCACACCCGAUAAGGAUUUAGAACGCUAGCUCUGAUACUAUGUUAAAGAGACCAAGAAAAUCAAGAGGAAUGUCUGAAAACUUGCCUUCCCAUUGUGUUCACCUAUUG